rnacentral:misc_RNA from 1 species
UGGCUCUCGCAUCGAUGAAGAACGCAGCGAAAUGCGAUAAGUAAUGUGAAUUGCAGAAUUCAGUGAAUCAUCGAAUCUUUGAACGCACCUUGCGCUCCUUGGUAUUCCGAGGAGCAUGCCUGUUUGAGUGUCGUGAAAUCAUCAACUCCCCAUACUUUAUUGUUAGGGAUGAGCUUGGACUUGGGGAUUGCUGGUGCAAAUCAGCUUCCCUUGAAAGCAUUAGCUGGAAUUUAGUUCGCAGCAUAUAUGCGGUGUGAUAAUGUCGUCACUGUAUAGCUCGUACUUGUCUAGCUUCUAAUUGUCCUUUGGACAGUUUGAUCAUUUUGACCUCAAAUCAGGUAGGACUACCCGCUGA